rnacentral:rRNA from 1 species
GAUGAACGCUGGCGGCGUGCCUAAUACAUGCAAGUCGAGCGAACAGACGAGGAGCUUGCUCCUCUGACGUUAGCGGCGGGCGGGUGAGUAACACGUGGAUAACCUACCUAUAAGACUGGGAUAACUUCGGGAAACCGGAGCUAAUACCGGAUAAUAUAUUGAACCGCAUGGUUCAAUAGUGAAAGACGGUUUUGCUGUCACUUAUAGAUGGAUCCGCGCCGCAUUAGCUAGUUGGUAAGGUAACGGCUUACCAAGGCAACGAUGCGUAGCCGACCUGAGAGGGUGAUCGGCCACACUGGAACUGAGACACGGUCCAGACUCCUACGGGAGGCAGCAGUAGGGAAUCUUCCGCAAUGGGCGAAAGCCUGACGGAGCAACGCCGCGUGGGUGAUGAAGGUCUUCGGAUCGUAAAACUCUGUUAUUAGGGAAGAACAAAUGUGUAAGUAACUAUGCACGUCUUGACGGUACCUAAUCAGAAAGCCACGGCUAACUACGUG